rnacentral:rRNA from 1 species
UACGUAGGGGGCAAGCGUUAUCCGGAUUUACUGGGUGUAAAGGGAGCGUAGGCGGCUUAGUAAGUCUGAAGUGAAAGCCCGCGGCUCAACUGCGGAACGGCUUUGGAAACUGAGUAACUGGAGUGCUGGAGGGGCAGGCGGAAUUCCUGGUGUAGCGGUGAAAUGCGUAGAUAUUAGGAGGAACACCAGCGGCGAAGGCGGCUUACUGGACCGUGACUGACGUUGAGGCUCGAAAGCGUGGGGAGCAAACAGG